GGAGAGGGGGCGGGCCGGCGCGCACUAGGCUCCGGGGCCCGCGCGGCGCCCCGGGCGGCCGGGCGGCCGGGCAGGGGCGGGGGCGCGCAGCGCGCGGCCGCCCAGGCACCUGCUCCACGCGCGCACUCCGGCCCCAACGCCACCCCGCCGGCCGCUGGCACUGGGCAGCCCGGCCACCCCGCUGUUCGCGGCGCCUCCGGCCACCCCGACGCCGCCGCCCGUCUGCCUGCGGGUCUGGGUGAGGCCGCCCCGCUGAGAGCUGGUGUCGGGGACACUGGCGUGCUCGCUCCGCCCCGGGUGUACUUCGCAAAGCUUUGCAAAAUUUAAGUCCUCGGGUCGGGACAGUCGUGGGACGUGUCUGAGUUAGGAUACUCGAUUUGCUUCGAGGUCUCUGGUUCUGUCUGCACGUGUGGGGCCGUUUGCACUAGCCCCCCCACGCCCACCUCCCGGGACGUACAGGUGCGCACGUGGUCCCCACCCGGUUCAGGCCCGCUCCUCAAAGCGGUGCAGACUCACUGGGUGCUUCCUGCCAAGUCCCCAGCUGGCAAAGGGGGCUGGCAGCGAGUGGGUCCUUAGGAGACUUGCCAGAGAUUGACGUCACCACUGUUCCUGUCGGAGGGACGCUCCCUGAUUAUGUUUUCACAUGGAGUUUAUUUACAUCCACCACAAGAAAAUAAUUAAAAGAAUAAGGCGGGCACCGCCGAGGUGUAUUUAAUAACCGAAUAGGCCUCACAGUUGGUUACUUUUACUACCGUUUUCCGGGCCGCUUUGUACUGGGUUGCCUCCGGUCCGCUGGAGUGGAGAGUGUCUGGGAUUCUCGCUUCCCUGUGCAAUGUAAACCCUGUGCACCAGCGUGGAACUCCCAGGGCGCAAUUGCGCCCCUGAGGUCGCGCUCCGGCCCGGUGGUUUCAAGUGUCUGCGCGCCCCUUCCCUGGGUGACCAACAGAGGGCGCCAGUGGUUCAGGCUUGAAUCGACAACGACCGGGUCCAAGGCUCUUCUGCCAAGAGCAAGUGGGUCAGCAAUGCAAACCGAAGAGACCCCCGCGGGAAGGGGCUUUCCUGGACUCUCUCGGAAAUGGAUACUUGCCCUAGGAGGUGGGUAGGUAUCUUGGAGGAGCGUUUUGCAGUUUGCAGUAGAAACUGCCCCUGGGGACCCCCGUGCGUUCCCCCCUCCAGCCCGGCCCGCCCCCUGCAGGGCUGUGGGCGAAGCCAGCGCGCACCCACCGUCUCUCUGCCCUGCGGUGUGUAGGUGCGCACAUGGGUAGGUGUGUGCGGGCUCCCUUUAGAAUUGGGGACCGAUGUACUCUUGGCAUAUAGACAUAAAGCAGGAGUAAUACUUGCUCCACAGGAAGAGAGAGCUGGAAUGCGCAGAGGGGCCUGCGUCCCCAGCCCCGCGGAGGCACAGCAACCCCCCCCCCCCCCCCACGCCAGCGCGCAGGCUGUGCAGACUCGUCCAGGUUACCGCACACCGUGCGUCACCUCCUGGCUGCCCCCCGCCCCCAUCCCUCCUUGUAGCUGCGUGUUAUCUGCCUCAGCCUCCCAGAACAGGGUCUCGAAUUGCAUUGGAAAAUUAGAGGAAGCAAAAAACAAACAAACAAAAAUCCCUCCGGGUUGGUUGCACGACUCCUUUCCUAUCCACGGAGACCUGGAUUCUGAAACAGCCGGCUGCGCAGCCAGAUUCCUGAGCCUCUGUGUUUAGGCCAGUGUCACCAGGCAGUGUGGCCCUUUUGCAGCGCUGCCAUCCGAGUGUGGUCGGAAAGCGCAGGGAGGACACCCGGGUCCUCCCCUAGUCCUGGGCUUCCCAGCACCCUCCCCUCACCGCCUGGGCCGCGGCCGCACAGCAGGAGCCAGUUCCGCGCGGAGACCCUAGGGGGCGUCGAAGAGCCGGGCGCCGAGCCCGCGGGAACCCAAGGCUGCACUCCCGCGAAUGUUCCAUGACCACGUGCGGCAGGGCUGUCGUCCCCCGCUCCGUGAGGUCUCGCGACAACGAGGUUUUCGAAAACCCACCUGGAGGUGUAGCUGCUGGAGACACCUGUAGUUAUUUCUGAUGCAGUCUAUUCGUUCAAAUUUGUUACUUAUCAGAUAAAUUCCAGGCUUCGUGCAGCAGCCCUGCUGACCUCUGACCUGACUCGUCUCUGUGCAACGAUCCUGUGUAGCUGUUGGCCACCGUAGGUUACAUCCUCGCAUCACCUCACUUGUGUAGAGGCCCUAGGGGCCGUUCCCUGCCUCUGACAGCUUUGGGCAGGGACCAGAUCUCGCUCAUGCCUCUGAUACCUGUUCCUGAACCCAGGUGUGGAAUGAUGCUUAAAAGUACGUAUUAGCUGGAGCCAUGACGGAGCAGCAAUUAUCAAGAUUGGCAAGAGCGCAAGCAUCAGUUCAAGUCGAAAACAAUUUUAGGGGCCAAAAAUAGGUCGUGUUUUGUUGAGAUGCAGGAAAUAAUUUUCAUUAAUUUUAGUUUGAGGGCUUAAAAAAAAUAAAGCCUGUGUAAGCACUUCUGAUUAUGGCUUCCCCCACCGCCGCUUGUUGCUAAAGUCACAGGAUAAUAUGAGAUUUAUUUAAAGUGGGGGCCUGUUGGCCUCACAAAUCCAGCAGCUCUGAGCAUGCGAAGAGACCCCGAAAUGUAUAAGAUAAACUAAGAGCGAGAGUAGGUGCCUUCUCUAACAACCUAGAGAGAUGUGAGCAGAUCCCCGGCCCGGCAGAGGCAGGUGAAGGGGACCUAGCGGGGCAGGGAUCUCUCUUUGGGGACUAUAUAGUGACUCUGGACCAGGGUAAGGUGACACAUCUUUGAAGGAACCGCAAGCCUUGCCUGAAUUCCAGCUUUGUCAGCAUUGGGAUUCUGGUCAGCUUGAUGAAGGAAAGGUAAUUGGCAUGUGCACAUCCCGCUGCUUCGAAGGCCACUGUUGGGCUAUGGAACUGACGACCCCAACCCCCACAGCCUCUGCCUGGGCGGGAGGGUGGCGAGGGCUCCAGACUGGGGGUCCCCGCAUGGAACUUCCUCUGGGGUCCAGGGCUCCAGCCGGUGUGCCCGGACAUAUUAGCAGUUUGGGGGCCCUGACCACAACACCCCACCUUGCCACGGGGGAUUUGAAAUAAAAACACACCUGAGACACGUGUGGUGAAGUGUGGAGAUGAGUUUGAUGAGGGAGCGUGGGGUGGGCUGAGGGCAGAGCACAGGCGGAUAGCACCCCCCCCCCCACCCCCACCGUGGAUCUGUGUGAUGUUCCUCGGACACUCCUGGCCGCCCAAGAACACAGAAAGGGGGUUCAAGUGCUUGCUGUGGUGACGUGGGAAACUGAGGCAAAUGAAACAUCAAAUCCCCUUACUGCCUACGGCUCACUGACCAGUCCUUGAAACCGGUGCAGUGACCUCCCUCGAGGGGCUCAGCUGCCUCCAUGAUGACACUUUGCAGGGGACAGAAGGGAAUAUCAGCUUCACAUCACCCCACCUCGAGGACCCUGUAAGUCUCCUUCCUUUAUCUCAACUGCCCCAGGACACAUGCUGGCAUCAUCCUCCAGGCUUAGGGCCCCUAGGGGUCUCAGGACUGAGGUUUUACUAAACGGUAAUAAAUGGCAUUUCCCUGGCCACAGCGACCCCCUCAAGGUCCUGGAAACCUUGCUUCCAAAAUUCCUAAGAGACUUACUCUAUCCCCGCCCCCUCCCGAGCUGAGGGUAUGUGAUGAGUUACCCGUCACGACCCCAGUGCAGCUCCUCCUGCCCGUGGGCCCUGUCCCCAUGCUUUAAUAAACCACCUUUAUGCACCAAAGAUGUCUUCAAGAAUUCUUUCCGGGCUGUCAGCUCUGGAACCCCUCCCCCCCGUCACCCCAAAACUUCAUCAGUGUGACACUUCAUGUGCAGGCUCCCUUUGCCAGGAGAGCUUGGCAGGAAUAUUUGGGGGCCCUUUGGGAGGACCAGAUGGCAUUGGUCACCCCGAGUGAGGCCGGUAGAUCCAGGCCACAGGUCGGGCCAGCCCAGGGAGGGAGGUGAAGGCAGGGUCUCAGGGCAGGGCCUCGUGCGGGGCUGGGGAGGAGCUGGCGUCUGGCUGGUCCCCUCCCCUGGGCUUGCCCCGCACAGUUGGCCUGGGAGUGUCCCCACCUGUCCUCGCUCAGUCCUGGUGGUUCUGGACGUGUGUGUCAUUGAACUGUGCUCCCAGAUCCCCCUGUGCCGGCCCCCAAGUGGGCAGUGGGACCCCAUCUUUGGGGUGGCCAAGCUCACACAGCCUCGUAUGGGCCUCGGGGUGGCCCCCUUCUCCAUUUGGCCAGUUGGUGGACACAUGGCUUCCCUAAACUGGGGUCACCCAUCACACGUUGGCUUUCACACCAAGAGUCCUGGCGUCCCUCCCUCCUGGAGA